GUAAGGUGUGGUGGCACAUGCCUGUAGUCCUAGCUAUUCAGGAGGCUGCAGCAGGAAGAGUAUAUGAGUUUAGAAGUUCUGGGAUGUAGUGUUAUGCCGAUUGGGUGUCUACACCUAAGUUCUGCAUCAAUAUGGUGACCUUCCUGGAACAGGGGACCACCUGUAGCCCAGGUCAGAAACACAACAGGUCAAAACUCCCAUGCUAAUCAGUAGUAAGGUUGUACCUAUGACUAGCCACUGCACUCUAGCCUGGGCAAUAUAGCAAGACCUUAUCUCU
rnacentral:SRP_RNA from 1 species